CUGUGAGCUCGAUGAGUAGGGCGGGACACGUGGUAUCCUGUCUGAAUAUGGGGGGACCAUCCUCCAAGGCUAAAUACUCCUGACUGACCGAUAGUGAACCAGUACCGUGAGGGAAAGGCGAAAAGAACCCCGGCGAGGGGAGUGAAAAAGAACCUGAAACCGUGUACGUACAAGCAGUGGGAGCACAGAGCAAUCUGUGUGACUGCGUACCUUUUGUAUAAUGGGUCAGCGACUUAUAUUCUGUAGCAAGGUUAACCGAAUAGGGGAGCCGAAGGGAAACCGAGUCUUAACUGGGCGUUAAGUUGCAGGGUAUAGACCCGAAACCCGGUGAUCUAGCCAUGGGCAGGUUGAAGGUUGGGUAACACUAACUGGAGGACCGAACCGACUAAUGUUGAAAAAUUAGCGGAUGACUUGUGGCUGGGGGUGAAAGGCCAAUCAAACCGGGAGAUAGCUGGUUCUCCCCGAAAGCUAUUUAGGUAGCGCCUCGUGAAUUCAUCUCCGGGGGUAGAGCACUGUUUCGGCAAGGGGGUCAUCCCGACUUACCAACCCGAUGCAAACUGCGAAUACCGGAGAAUGUUAUCACGGGAGACACACGGCGGGUGCUAACGUCCGUCGUGAAGAGGGAAACAACCCAGACCGCCAGCUAAGGUCCCAAAGUCAUGGUUAAGUGGGAAACGAUGUGGGAAGGCCCAGACAGCCAGGAUGUUGGCUUAGAAGCAGCCAUCAUUUAAAGAAAGCGUAAUAGCUCACUGGUCGAGUCGGCCUGCGCGGAAGAUGUAACGGGGCUAAACCAUGCACCGAAGCUGCGGCAGCGACGCUUAUGCGUUGUUGGGUAGGGGAGCGUUCUGUAAGCCUGUGAAGGUGUACUGUGAGGUAUGCUGGAGGUAUCAGAAGUGCGAAUGCUGACAUAAGUAACGAUAAAGCGGGUGAAAAGCCCGCUCGCCGGAAGACCAAGGGUUCCUGUCCAACGUUAAUCGGGGCAGGGUGAGUCGACCCCUAAGGCGAGGCCGAAAGGCGUAGUCGAUGGGAAACAGGUUAAUAUUCCUGUACUUGGUGUUACUGCGAAGGGGGGACGGAGAAGGCUAUGUUGGCCGGGCGACGGUUGUCCCGGUUUAAGCGUGUAGGCUGGUUUUCCAGGCAAAUCCGGAAAAUCAAGGCUGAGGCGUGAUGACGAGGCACUACGGUGCUGAAGCAACAAAUGCCCUGCUUCCAGGAAAAGCCUCUAAGCAUCAGGUAACAUCAAAUCGUACCCCAAACCGACACAGGUGGUCAGGUAGAGAAUACCAAGGCGCUUGAGAGAACUCGGGUGAAGGAACUAGGCAAAAUGGUGCCGUAACUUCGGGAGAAGGCACGCUGAUAUGUAGGUGAAGUCCCUCGCGGAUGGAGCUGAAAUCAGUCGAAGAUACCAGCUGGCUGCAACUGUUUAUUAAAAACACAGCACUGUGCAAACACGAAAGUGGACGUAUACGGUGUGACGCCUGCCCGGUGCCGGAAGGUUAAUUGAUGGGGUCAGCGCAAGCGAAGCUCUUGAUCGAAGCCCCGGUAAACGGCGGCCGUAACUAUAACGGUCCUAAGGUAGCGAAAUUCCUUGUCGGGUAAGUUCCGACCUGCACGAAUGGCGUAAUGAUGGCCAGGCUGUCUCCACCCGAGACUCAGUGAAAUUGAACUCGCUGUGAAGAUGCAGUGUACCCGCGGCAAGACGGAAAGACCCCGUGAACCUUUACUAUAGCUUGACACUGAACAUUGAGCCUUGAUGUGUAGGAUAGGUGGGAGGCUU
rnacentral:rRNA from 1 species